rnacentral:lncRNA from 1 species
GAUGAGGUUCCACAGACUGAGACUCUGAAGGUGGCAGAAGAGGGUGAUACCCAGAAGACCAGUACAGUGAGGUCACAAGAAGAAGCUGAGGGUCCCUUAGCUGACCUUUGCCCUACUAUACUUAAACCCUUAGUGGAUACCAUUUCUGAGAAAGGAGAUACCGUCCACCUUACGUCAUCCAUAUCAAAUGCUAAGGAGGUGAACUGGUAUUUCAA